rnacentral:rRNA from 1 species
CAGGGCUUGACAUAUAGGUGAAGCGGCGGAGACGUCGUGGCCGAAAGGAGCCUAUACAGGUGGUGCAUGGCUGUCGUCAGCUCGUGUCGUGAGAUGUUGGGUUAAGUCCCGCAACGAGCGCAACCCUCGUCGCAUGUUGCCAGCGGUUCGGCCGGGCACCCAUGCGAGACCGCCGGCGUCAAGCCGGAGGAAGGUGGGGACGACGUCAAGUCAUCAUGCCCCUUAUGUCCUGGGCCGCACACGUGCUACAAUGGCCGGCACAGUGGGUUGCCAGCGCGCAAGCGUGAGCGAAUCCCAAAAGCCGGUCUCAGUUCGGACUGGAGGCUGCAACUCGCCUCCACGAAGUCGGAGUUGCUAGUAAUCGCGAUCAGCACGCCGUCGAAUGU